AACCUAGUCCAAUGACAGCAUACCUGCUGAACUGGUCUACGGUGUACCAGCAGCCAAUUGAUUUCAUGCCCAUGAAAUUCUGCCAGCUAUGUGUCAGAUUGUGUACUAGCUUUGCUCUGACUGAGCACUAACUCUGCAAAACAAAUUGUGGAAUUAAAAUGGUUGGCCAACAGGAAAUUCUGCUUUUGGCAGAUGGAGCGGAGGUGCUCGACAAAGCGGUGGGGAGGAUGAAUUUCAGGGUUGUAUACUACAUACAAACUUUGAUGCUGCCUGACCUGCUGAGUUCCUCCGGCAUUUUGCGUGUGAAGCUCUGGAUUUCCAGCAUCUCAAGAAUUUCUUGUGUUUAACAUCAACAACGUUCCAUUGCAACACCAACAAGAGAAGAUCUGCAGAUGCUGGAGAUCUAAGGAAUACACACAAAAUGCUGGAGGAACUCAGCAGGCCAGGCAGCAUCUAUGAAAAAUAUCACACAGUCAACCUUUCAGGCCAAGACCCUUCAUCAGGACUGGAAAAAGAAAUUAGAAGUCAGAGUAAGAAGGUGGGGGAGGAGAGGAAGAAGUUCAGCAUAGUAGGUGAUGGAAAUCCAGGAGAGGGGGUGAAUUAAAGAGCCAGGAGAUCAAUUGGCGAAAGAGAAAGAGCUGGAGAAGGGAGAAUCUGUUAGGACAAAAGGCCAUGGAAGAAAAGGAAGGGAGAUGAGCACCAGAGGGAGGUUUUGGGCAGGUAAGGAGGUAAGGUGAGAGAGGGAAAUUGGAAUGGGGAAUAGUGAAUUGGGGGGGGGGGGGGUGGAGGGCAAUUACCGGAAGUUUAAAAAAAUCAAUGUUCCUGCCAUUAGGUCGGAGGCUACUCAGACAGGAUAUAAGGUGUUGUUCCUCCAAACUGCUUGUGGCCUCAUCACAGAGGAGGCCAUGGACUGACAUGUCAGAAUGGGAAUGAGAAGUAGAAUUGAAAUGUGCGGCUACCAGGAGAUCCCACUUUUUCUGCUGGGCAGAGCAGAGGUGCUUGGCGAAAUGGUCUCCCAAUCUACACUGGGUCUGACUGAUGUACUGGAAGCCACACUGGGAGCACUGGAUACAGGAGAUGACACCAACAGACUCGCAGAUGAAGUGCCACCUCACCUGGAAGGAUUGUUCGGGGCCCUGAAUGGCAGCGAGAGGGGAGGUGUAGAGGCUGCUAUAGCACUUGAAGUCAUAAAGAAUUGUUUGCUGGACACAGAGGCUGAUCAGGUGGUAGGUGAGGAUGAGGAGCCCUCUCCCUGGUGGGUUGGCUGAAGGAUGCAGUGAGGGCAGACAUGCGUGAAUGGAAGAGAUGCGGGUGGGAGCAGCACUGAUGGUGGAGGAAGGAAACUCUUAUUUUUGAAGAAGGCAGACAUCUUAUUAGUUCUGGCAUGAAAAGCCUUAUCCUAAGAGGAGAUGUGGUGGAGAAGGAGGAAUUAAGAUAAUGUAGUCAUUGAUAUAGUGUAGAAAAAGUUGGGGAGUGAUACUGGUGUAGGCUUGGAACAUAGACUGCUCCAUGUAGCCGACAAAAGGGCAGACAUAACUGGAAUCCAUGCAAGUGCCCAUGGGUGCACCUUUUGUUUGAAGGAUGUGGAAAAAGCCUGAAGUGAAAUUAUUGAGAGUAAGGACCAGUUCUGCCAGAUGAAGGAGAGUGGUGGUGGAGGGGAAAUGCUUGGGUCUGGUGUCCAGAAAGAAGCAGAGGGCUUUGAGGCCUUCCUGAUGGUGGAUGGAGGCGUAUAGAAACCAAACAUCCAUAGUGAAAAUGAGACGACCAGGGCCAGGAAGCUAAAAGUCAUUGAAAAGAUCAAGAGCAUGUGAAGCAUCAGGGAUGUAGGUAGGAAGGGACUGAAGCAGGGAGGAUAAAACAAAGUCACGUUAUGCAUAUAUGAGUUUGGUGGGGCAGGAACAAGCAGAAAGAAUGGGUCUACCUGGGCAGACAUGUUUAUGGAUCUUGAGAAGGAGUUAGAAAUGGGAGGUGCAGGUUAAGGGGAUUAUGAGGUUGGUGGCAGUGGAUGGGAGAUCCCCAGAGUUAAUAAGGUUUGUGAUGAACCAUUAAAUCUGGGGAUCUCCAUCAGUCACCCUAUGACUCUACAAAUUACCUAUCACUUUGUACUUCUUCCUCUCCUCCCCCCACAUUCUUUAUCUGACUUCUAAUCUCAUUUUGCCAGACCUGAUGAAGGGUCUAGGCCCAAAGCAUUGACUAUUUAUUCUUUUCCAUGGAUGCUGCCUGGCCUGCUGAGUUCCUCCAGCAUUUUGUGUGCAUUGCUUCCAUUUCAACACCAACUGCUUGACUGAAUUCUUCAACAU